UAUAAAGGCAAAGCAAGAGAAAUCUUGUGACGCAAAGCUAUAGGGCCUAAAUUAAUAAUGGUAGCCAGUUAUCG
rnacentral:ncRNA from 1 species